UUUGCAGCGGUGAUGACAAAUUUGUGGACUAGAGUUUCUGACGCCGCCUCUUCAGCGGCAUCUGCAGACAACCCCUUGGCUGUCUGAGCUCCCAG
rfam:Triticum aestivum genome assembly, contig: Triticum_aestivum_CS42_TGACv1_scaffold_579686_7BL